GAUCAGUUGCGUGAUUGAUUCGCUUGUGUUACUUGUUCUACGACUCUUCAAAUUGCCCAGUCUCUGGGACAGUCCUUGUUUGUACAGUAGAGAAACAUCACUACCGGCCCGCCGUCGGCCCGGUAGAGGGAAAUGGACAGAGAGAGAGAGAUGGAGGGGAAGACUGUGUAACUCUAGCCUAAUCAAACG
ensembl:ncRNA Y76A2B.8 ncRNA